rnacentral:rRNA from 1 species
GAUGAACGCUGGCGGCGUGCCUAAUACAUGCCAGUCGAGCGAACAGACGAGGAGCUUGCUCCUCUGACGUUAGCGGCGGACGGGUGAGUAACACGUGGAUAACCUACCUAUAAGACUGGGAUAACUUCGGGAAACCGGAGCUAAUACCGGAUAAUAUAUUGAACCGCAUGGUUCAAUAGUGAAAGACGGUUUUGCUGUCACUUAUAGAUGGAUCCGCGCCGCAUUAGCUAGUUGGUAAGGUAACGGCUUACCAAGGCGACGAUGCGUAGCCGACCUGAGAGGGUGAUCGGCCACACUGGAACUGAGACACGGCCCAGACUCCUACGGGAGGCAGCAGUAGGGAAUCUUCCGCAAUGGGCGAAAGCUUGACGGAGCAACGCUGCGUGAGUGAUGAAGGUCUUCGGAUCGUAAAACUCUGUUAUUAGGGAAGAACAAAUGUGUAAGUAACUAUGCACGUCUUGACGGUACCUAAUCAGAAAGCCACGGCUAACUACGUG